AGGAGCCGUAUGAGGGGAAACCUUCACGUACGGUUCUGAAGGAGAGGUGCCCCGGAUAAUACCGGGCAUCGACUCUAAC
rfam:Lyngbya majuscula 3L genomic scaffold scf46138, whole genome shotgun sequence.